rnacentral:sRNA from 1 species
CCACCACUCCUGUUCCUUCAACCCCUUUGAAGCUGACCGCAGAAGGUGGUGAGACAGGAGCUGUAUGGGACGAUGGUUCUCACGAUGAUGUUAAGAAAGUUUAUGUAGGACAAGGCCAAGAUGGUGUUGCAGCUGUCAAGUUUGAAUACAAAAAUGGUUCUCAGGUUGUUUUUGGAGAUGAACGUGGAACGAGAACAUUGCUAGGAUUCGAAGAG